ACUUAUAUUUAUUGGCUAUUUGGAUUUCCUUUUGCUGUGAAAUGCCUGUUCUUCUCCUUGUUCCAUGUUUAAAAAUCCGUUUAUUUAUCAUUAGGUCUGAGCUCUUCACCACUACACCCAGCCAGCUUCUUCAACUGAGAAAAACAAAUGCAUCUGAUAAAGGGAGUCAAAGACAUCACCCUUCUUCCUCCAAGGGCUGAAGAAAGCAGCCCUUAUUGACUGGCUUCUAUCACUCAUCUGAUUAAAGGUGGGAUGACUGGCAUGAACGCCAAUUUGAGCUUCAAGGUGGACACUCUGGGGUGCUACUGUCCAUACCAUUUUUCGAGGGAGGGGAGCUGCUUUUCCUGCUUGAAAGAUGUGGCCGUAGGCAGAGACAGGACAACACUUCAGAUGCCUGGUAGCAGCUAGUACAGACAAAAGCUUCAUGGAGUUGCCUCUCUCUCUCCAGUUGUCUUCCUAGUUCCAAAAAACUAGAUUCCCAAAUGCCAUGUAAAGAAGUUUUCAAGUACUUAUCAGCGUGGAUCUUCCAGAGUGUUCAGUCAAGAAUGAGCCCAGGGAACUUCCCUGGUGGUCCAGUGGGUAAGA